AUUGGAGAUUAUCAGUCCUGUCAACGGCUAAAUAUAAUUCUGCAAUAUGGCAAUUAAGGCCAUAGGACAGGACAAAAUGUGUAUGACACCAAGGACCGGCGCAAGGAGAAGACUAAAGUUAUGGUGGUGUUGUUUUGCCAUACCGACCCCAGGCUCAGUGACACACACAACCAUACAAGCUGACCCCAGGGGCACUGAGCAUGCAUUAACGGUGCCAGUGAGGCUUCAACAGCCUUAGCCAAUGGCUAGGCGGUUAUGGUUGUGGUGUUUCGACAGACGGAACGGUGGGCAAUGACUAACAGGACAGUAGUGCAGCAACUGGAACCAGCAGGACAAAGUAUGGAGCAGUGUGGCAAAUUCAGGGAGGACACUGGACAAUAACGGC